CCUACGGGUGGCUGCAGUGGGGAAUAUUGCACAAUGGGCGCAAGCCUGAUGCAGCCAUGCCGCGUGUGUGAAGAAGCCUUCGGGUUGUAAAGCACUUUCAGCGGGGAGGAAGGCGUUAAGGUUAAUAACCUUGUCGAUUGACGUUACCCGCAGAAGAAGCACCGGCUAACUCCGUGCCAGCAGCCGCGGUAAUACGGAGGGUGCAAGCGUUAAUCGGAAUUACUGGGCGUAAAGCGCACGCAGGCGGUCUGUCAAGUCGGAUGUGAAAUCCCCGGGCUCAACCUGGGAACUGCAUUCGAAACUGGCAGGCUAGAGUCUUGUAGAGGGGGGUAGAAUUCCAGGUGUAGCGGUGAAAUGCGUAGAGAUCUGGAGGAAUACCGGUGGCGAAGGCGGCCCCCUGGACAAAGACUGACGCUCAGGUGCGAAAGCGUGGGGAGCAAACAGGAUUAGAUACCCCGGUAGUC
rnacentral:rRNA from 1 species